UUUUUAAGCUCUUGCCCUCUUAAACUUGCAUAAGAAUUUUAGGUAUUAAUAUGUGAUUAAAAAAAUUAGGAAAAAAACAGACUGAAAUAAUGGCUAAAUUUGUUUUGCAAGGUGAGGACUGGGCGCCCCAAGAAAUUCUUAAAAAGAGAACUUCACAGUAAUCUUUAAUGGCUUGUUUAGAGUAGAAAAAUUAUGAAAUACCAGUAAAGGAACUUAAAAUUUUAAACUAAUAUUCUGCUUUUUUUCUGAGGUUCAUGUAUUUGCUAGGAUCAUAACAUUGGUAUUUAAAAAGGUUUUAAGAUUUUAAUUUUGCAUUGGGGCUGAUAAAAUAACUAUAAAAUUCUUAAGAAUUUUUAUAGAAAAUGAAGAUAGUCUUUAUCCUUUGCUAAGUCCUAUUAGGAUAUUUUGUGGAAAGGAACUUGGAGUACGUGUUAAAUAUAAUCUCUGUCCUCUAGGCAGAGGUUCUUAUGAUCUAUUAUGGGAGAUAAAAUAAAACCAAGAUACUUACAUUCGUUGAGACACACAAAUAA